rnacentral:rRNA from 1 species
UACGUAGGGGGCGAGCGUUGUCCGGAAUCAUUGGGCGUAAAGCGCACGUAGGCGGCUUUCUAAGUCGGGGGUGAAAUCCUGGAGCUCAACUCCAGAACUGCCUUCGAUACUGGAGAGCUCGAGUCCGGGAGAGGUAAGCGGAAUUCCUGGUGUAGCGGUGAAAUGCGUAGAUAUCAGGAGGAACACCUGCGGUGUAGACGGCUUACUGGACCAUAACUGACGCUGAGGCACGAAAGCGUGGGUAGCAAACAGG